rnacentral:rRNA from 1 species
UACGUAGGCAGCGAGCGUUGUUCGGAUUUACUGGGCGUAAAGAGUGCGUAGGCGGUUUUCUAAGUUUGGUGUGAAAUCUCCCGGCUCAACUGGGAGGGUGCGCCGAAGACUGGAAGGCUUGAGUAUGGGAGAGGUAAGCGGAAUUCCUGGUGUAGCGGUGAAAUGCGUAGAUAUCAGGAGGAACACCUGCGGUGUAGACGGCUUACUGGACCAUAACUGACGCUGAGGCACGAAAGCGUGGGUAGCAAACGGG